UACAGAGGAUGCAAGCGUUAUCCGGAAUGAUUGGGCGUAAAGCGUCUGUAGGUGGCUUUUUAAGUCCGCCGUCAAAUCCCAGGGCUCAACUCUGGACAGGCGGUGGAAACUACCAAGCUGGAGUACGGUAGGGGCAGAGGGAAUUUCCGGUGGAGCGGUGAAAUGCGCAGAUAUCAGGAGGAACACCGGUGGCGAAGGCGGAUCUCUGGGCCGAUACUGACGCUGAGGAGCGAAAGCGUGGGGAGCGAACAGG
rnacentral:rRNA from 1 species